rnacentral:rRNA from 1 species
GUGCCAGCCGCCGCGGUAAUACAGAGGGUGCGAGCGUUAAUCGGAUUUACUGGGCGUAAAGCGCGCGUAGGUGGCUAAUUAAGUCAAAUGUGAAAUCCCCGAGCUUAACUUGGGAAUUGCAUUCGAUACUGGUUAGCUAGAGUAUGGGAGAGGAUGGUAGAAUUCCAGGUGUAGCGGUGAGAUGCGUAGAGAUCUGGAGGAAUACCGAUGGCGAAGGCAGCCAUCUGGCCUAAUACUGACACUGAGGUGCGAAAGCAUGGGGAGCGAACAGGAUUAGAAACC